rnacentral:rRNA from 1 species
UACGUAGGGGGCGAGCGUUGUCCGGAUUUACUGGGCGUAAAGCGCGUGUAGGCGGCUUCUUAAGUCGGGUGUGAAAGCCCGGGGCUCAACCUCGGGAUGCCGCCCGAGACUGGGAGGCUUGAGGUCGGAAGAGGGGAGUGGAAUUCCAGGUGUAGCGGUGAAAUGCGUAGAGAUCUGGAGGAACACCCGUGGCGAAGGCGGCUCCCUGGUCCGGUUCUGACGCUGAGACGCGAAAGCGCGGGGAGCGAACGGG